UACGAAGGGGGCGAGCGUUGUUCGGAAUCACUGGGCGUAAAGGGUGCGCAGGCGGCUUUUUAAGUCAGGGGUGAAAUCCCGAGGCUCAACGGCGGAACUGCCUUUGAUACUGGGGAUCUUGAGUCCGGAAGAGGUGAGUGGAACUGCGGGUGUAGAGGUGAAAUUCGUAGAUAUUGGCAAGAACACCGGUGGCGAAGGCGGCUCACUGGUCCGGAACUGACGCUGAGGCACGAAAGCGUGGGGAGCAAACAGG
rnacentral:rRNA from 1 species